AGGUAGAAAGCUCCUUUUCACAGAUGGGAUAUGUGUCUGAUUCAUCUCAGUAUAACCAGCAACCAGAAAACUUCAUGUCUUGGGCUGGGAGGACCGAAGAGUUGUGAGAUGAAGUCAACUAGAAUUAUCUACGCAAGUUUCCUUGUCUACCAAAUGAAUAAAAGGACCAUGAAGAUCGCUGAAAUAUGUAGAGGACAAGUGGAACACAACCUGUAGAGGAGCGUGGGCGGGAUCAGGGGAACUAGUCAGAAUACUGUGGCAGCCCAGACCCACACUGAUGUUUUCCAGGAUCCUCAGAACAUGUAAAGCAGGUUCUCUCUUGAAGGGAGGUCUGAGUGGCAUACUCCCACAGCUGCUGUAUGUAGCUGCCCUACUGGAGAGACCCUGUGGAGAGGCCAUGUGAAGAGGAGAGAGCCUGAAUCUACAUGGAGAAGGAGCAAGGUCCAGUCACCUCAGUAUCCCGGAUCCCAGGUGAGCCUCCACAGGACUCCAGCCUCCGCCACCAUCUGACUGAAACUCCCGUAGGAGAAGCCUUCCAGUCAACCCACAGCAUUGUGAGUGAUUAAAAAAAAAAAAAUUGUCAUUGUUUUAAGCCAGUAAGGGUUGGGCUGGUU